GCAACGCCGCGUGAGGGAUGACGGCCUUCGGGUUGUAAACCUCUUUCACCUGUGACGAAGCGAAAGUGACGGUAGCAGGAGAAGAAGCACCGGCCAACUACGUGCCAGCAGCCGCGGUAAUACGUAGGGUGCGAGCGUUGUCCGGAAUUAUUGGGCGUAAAGGGCUCGUAGGCGGUUUGUCGCGUCGGGAGUGAAAACACCGGGCUUAACUCGGUGCUUGCUUUCGAUACGGGCAGACUAGAGGUAUGCAGGGGAGAACGGAAUUCCUGGUGUAGCGGUGAAAUGCGCAGAUAUCAGGAGGAACACCGGUGGCGAAGGCGGUUCUCUGGGCAUUACCUGACGCUGAGGAGCGAAAGUGUGGGGAGCGAACAGGAUUAGAUACCCUGGUAGUCCACACCGUAAACGUUGGGCGCUAGGUGUGGGGCCUAUUCCAUGGGUUCCGUGCCGCAGCUAACGCAUUAAGCGCCCCGCCUGGGGAGUACGGCCGCAAGGCUAAAACUCAAAGGAAUUGACGGGGGCCCGCACAAGCGGCGGAGCAUGCGGAUUAAUUCGAUGCAACGCGAAGAACCUUACCUGGGUUUGACAUAUGCCGGAAACACCUAGAGAUAGGUGCCCUUUUAGU
rnacentral:rRNA from 2 species